rnacentral:rRNA from 1 species
CAAGUCGUACGAGAAUCGUAGCAUUACGAGGAAAGUGGCGAAAGGGAGAGGAUUACGUGGGAAUCUACCCUCAGACCUGGGAUAGCGGCGGGAAACUGCCGGUAAUACCAGAUAAUGUCUUUGGACCAAAGGUGUGAUUCCGUCUGGGGAUGAGCCCACGUCCUAUUAGCUUGUUGGUGGGGUAAUGGCCUACCAAGGCAAUGAUGGGUAGCGGGUGUGAGAGCACGACCCGCCUCACUGGGACUGAGAUACUGCCCAGGCACCUACGGGUGGCUGCAGUCGAGAAUCUUCGGCAAUGGGCGAAAGCCUGACCGAGCGACGCCGCGUGCGGGAUUGAAGGCCUUCGGGUUGUAAACCGCUGUCGUAGGGGAGCAAGAGAAGAGGGUUCUCCCUCUAAUUUGAGCGAUCCUAGGAGGAAGGACGGGCUAAGUUCGUGCCAGCAGCCGCGGUAAGACGAACCGUCCGAACGUUAUUCGGUAUCACUGGGCUUAAAGAGUUCGUAGGCGGCUCCGUAGGUGAGGUGUGAAAUCCCUCGGCUUAACCGAGGAAUUGCGCUUCAAACCGUGGAGCUAGAGGAAGAUAGGGGUGAGCGGAACAGAUGGUGGAGCGGUGAAAUGCGUUGAUAUCAUCUGGAACACCGGUGGCGAAAGCGGCUCGCUGGAUCUUUUCUGACGCUGAGGAACGAAAGCUAGGGGAGCGAACGGGAUUAGAUACCCCGGUAGUCCUAGCCGUAAACGAUGAGCACUAGUCUGUGGGGACCCUCACAUCCUCUCGGACGUAGCGAAAGUGUUAAGUGCUCCGCCUGGGGAGUAUGGUCGCAAGGCUGAAACUCAAGGAAUUGACGG